rnacentral:rRNA from 1 species
CUACGGGCUGCCCAGUGAGGAAUAUUGCACAAUGGAGGAAACUCUGAUGCAGCAACGCCGCGUGGAGGAUGACGCAUUUCGGUGUGUAAACUCCUUUUAUGAGUCAAGAAAAUGACGGUAGCUCAUGAAUAAGCACCGGCUAACUCCGUGCCAGCAGCCGCGGUAAUACGGAGGGUGCAAGCGUUACUCGGAAUCACUGGGCGUAAAGGACGCGUAGGCGGGAUAUCAAGUCAGGUGUGAAAUCCUACAGCUUAACUGUAGAACUGCACUUGAAACUGGUAACCUAGAGUAUGGGAGGGGGAGAUGGAAUUAGUGGUGUAGGGGUAAAAUCCGUAGAUAUCACUAGGAAUACCUAAAGCGAAGGCGAUCUCCUGGAACAUAACUGACGCUAAGGCGUGAAAGCGUGGGGAGCAAACAGGAUUAGAUACCCGAGUAGUC